CUACUUAGGGUGCAAGCGUUAAUCGGAAUUACUGGGCGUAAAGCGCUCGUAGGCGGCUUGUUAAGUCGGAUGUGAAAGCCCCGGGCUCAACCUGGGAACUGCAUUCGAUACUGGCAAGCUAGAGUAUAGUAGAGGCAAGUGGAAUUCCGGGUGUAGCGGUGAAAUGCGUAGAUAUCGGGAGGAACAUCAGUGGCGAAGGCGGCUACCUGGACUAAAACUGACACUGAGGUGCGAAAGCGUGGGGAGCAAACAGGAUUAGAAACCCCGGUAGUCC
rnacentral:rRNA from 1 species